ACCAAGCCAACUGGGAAUUUGAAUCACAUGAAUAAAGGUGAGAUCUUGAAUCAAUAAAACAUUCUUUUUUAUUUCUAACACUAAUGUAGUGAUAACUAGAAUUAUAUUGUAUUUUAGGGAUAUCAGUCUUACUAUAUGAUACCUAGUUUCUCUUCUCAAAGCAUCAUUUAAGUACUAAUUGGUGUAUUAUUUAAGUUCUGUCUUACUGGGGAGAAGUUCCUACUGCCCAAAGGAAGACUGGAAAUUUUUCAUCAUUUGAUAAGGAGUGACUAGAAUUCUUCUCUUGCGCCCUGUCCACCAAAAGCAGGAAUGAUAAAGAUAAAUGUGUGGGACACUUUACAUUUUCAUAUUCUUUUUCUCUUUUAAUCCUCUCAGUUGUACUAUAAUGUAGGUGUUAAUAUUCUCAUUCUGUAGAUGAGGAACCUGAAAGUCAAAUUUAAUGACCUGCCCAAGGCCACACAGCUAGUAAGAGGUAUAAAUCGCAGCAGAUAAGCUGUAAUUUAAGUGUACUUUCGUGCUUACCUUUCUGAUUCUUUAGCACCAUUUUUCUCUUUUUUUCCCUUUGAUAUCAAAAACUUGGGCUUCCAAGUCUUUAGUUUAUCUUCGUCACUGAGAAGAAAAAUAUUUGGAGCAAGUAAAUUAAGAUUGAACUAAAACCCUUACGGAACAAUCAGUACUUUCUGGGAAACUGUGUUUUACCAAAAAAUUAAUUAAAAAGUCAUCUAGAAGUAUAUUUUGAUAAUCUAUGGCAAGGCCAGAGCGUCAAUAUUGUAGGCUUUGCAAGCCAUGCCAUCUCUAUGGUAACAACUCUGCUAUUGCGACUGUCAUCUCUAUGGUAACA